rnacentral:rRNA from 1 species
GAUGAACGCUGGCGGCGUGCCUAAUACAUGCAAGUCGAGCGAACAGACGAGGAGCUUGCUCCUCUGACGUUGGGGCGGACGGGUGAGUAACACGUGGAUAACCUACCUAUAAGACUGGGAUAACUUCGGGAAACCGGAGCUAAUACCGGAUAAUAUAUUGAACCGCAUGGUUCAAUAGUGAAAGACGGUUUUGCUGUCACUUAUAGAUGGAUCCGCGCCGCAUUAGCUAGUUGGCAAGGUAACGGCUUACCAAGGCAACGAUGCGUAGCCGACCUGAGAGGGUGAUCGGCCACACUGGAACUGAGACACGGUCCAGACUCCUACGGGAGGCAGCAGUAGGGAAUCUUCCGCAAUGGGCGAAAGCCUGACGGAGCAACGCCGCGUGAGUGAUGAAGGUCUUCGGAUCGUAAAACUCUGUUAUUAGGGAAGAACAAAUGUGUAAGUAACUAUGCACGUCUUGACGGUACCUAAUCAGAAAGCCACGGCUAACUACGUG